AAAAGUCACAAACUUAGGGUUUAGAGUUAAAGGGUGGGGUUUAGGAAUUAGGGUUUAGGGUUUAGAGUUUAGGGUUUAGGUUUAGGGUUUAGGGUUUAGAGUUUAGAAUUUAGGGUUUAGGGUUUAGAGUUUAGGGUUUAGGGUUUAGAGUUUAGGGUUUAAGGUUUAGGGUUUAGGGUUUAGAGUUUAGGGUUUAGGGUUUAGAAUUGAGAAAUGAGGUUUUGGAGAUAAGAUAUAAACUUAGAAAGGUGCUAUUUUGGUCAUUUUAGUUUUUGAGUGCUAUUUUUGUGAUAUAAACUUAGAAAUAUGCUAUUUUGGACAUUUGCCCUU
rnacentral:lncRNA from 1 species